rnacentral:sRNA from 1 species
GCCAGGUGCAGUGGUGCACACCUGUAAUCCCAGUAGCUUGGGAGGCUGAGACAGGAGGAUCAUGAGUUCAAAGCCAACCUCAGCAAUAGCAACUCAUUGAGACCCUUUCUCUA